rnacentral:lncRNA from 1 species
UGAAAGACUCACACAACCUUAUGCUUGAAGGUGGAGGUGCUGGACCCCUCAAAGGAAGUGGAAGGAGGAUUCCAAGUGUAAAGAGAAGCAGAAGCCAAUGGCACUGAAUCAACUGGAACUCCCAAUAGCAGAAUAUGAGAGUUGCCGUUUCUCUACAUCCUUGCCAACACCGACUAUUGGCAAUGGUGUAACUCUAGCCAUUACGGUGGGUAACAAAUGAUGUGGAACACCCUUUCAUACGCUUAUUGGACAUUUGGAUGUCCUCUUUUGUGAAGCACCAGUUCAAAUCAUUUGACUGUUUAAAAACUGCAUUGUCUGUUUUUUCUUAUUGGUUUGUAGAAGUUCCAAAUAUAUUCUGGAUACAAGUUUUUUGGUGAUAUAUAUA